ensembl:lncRNA
CAGUAAGGAACGCCGCCUUGUUCUCUGCCUCCUGUGCUGCAAGGUGCAGGACAGCCUGUCCACACACCUUGAAAACUGCUUCCCCAGAAGAACGAUGGGUAGAGGUGAGGAGGGCCAAAGAUUGGAGAAACUGGACUCGCCACCACCGCAACUGGGACUACUGGAGUUGAGCAGCCUUAUCCCUGAGCAGAUGGACAAUGGGCAAACAGAGGAAGCAGCCACCAGUAGAGCAGGCAGCACCCCUGCAGUGGUCAUCGGCCAACGAAGGCCACUGCUACUCAGGAAGCAGUGGCUGCAGUGGACAGAAGCACCCCAGAAUCCAGUGGUGGCAUCUCCGGAUUCAACAUGGCAACACCCAUCAUUGACAGAACGGAGUGGAGUAUACAUAAAUAUGCAAAGAUUGGUCAGAGACAGCCCUGAUGAGGAAACAGCACCACCCAUCCCUGGAAAACGUGGGACGUAAACUGAACCACUCCAGGAAAAACCCCAAUGCUAAACCUCUCCACUGCAAAAAAGGACACCUUGUUGCUGGUGGCAGCAAAAGACAUUGUUGUGGGUGACUCGCUCCGAUUAUGGGGUGAAUCGGAAGGACUUGACCUUGAGUGGCUGGAUGAGUAAUUUGAACCACAUCAUCUAUCAUCCAUCCCUGGCCUGGUGUCAAGUUAAAGGACUCCUUUAGUGAUGGUAUCUCUAAUAAGUGUACGCUAGUUGCAGGGUUGGAGGCGAGGUUUUUAGACUAGUGUCGGCAUCUUACUGUAAGCGCUGUUGGCAAACGUAGAAAACCCCGGACGCUCUGGAAAAACUAGGCACUUCUCUGUUCUGGGAACACCAAGAAAAGCUGGGCAGAUGGACUGAAGUAGCUCUGAUGGAACGGGACUGAAGCUAAAUUUCCAUUUCAGGAAUUUCCACCUUUUUGUGAUUUUAACACAGUAGGUGUGACGACGGCUGCAGCGUCAGCUAAAGAAUAAUGACAUGAUGUGAUUAUGAAUAACAUUACUGGUGUUAUGCUGCUGACUGAGGUGCUCAGUUCACUCAACCUGUGAAAACAGUGAAAUACAGUAAAUAAUCCAUCAUACAGCUCAAACAUAAUGAUAAUAAUAGAAAUGCAGCUGAAAUGUUUUUCUACAAACAUUUGCAAAACACAGGAUUUCCGAAGCACCGACUUAUUGUGAUUACAUGGGAAAAUGGCUGUAGGAGGGUGACAAUGAGAUGAGACAGAAGCUGCUGAACUGAGCUGUCAGGAGCUGAACUCCAGUAGCCGCUUGUUAAGAAGCACAGAUCCACGCACAGUAAUUACUCAUGGGCACAAAACAGCACGUGACGGCAGCUUCCAAGAAGAAGCGCCCGGACGUGUCCUAGUAAAGAGGUACCUGCAAGUCCCUGGCACUGCUGCACAUUGAACAUAACCAAUAAUGGAACAUUUAGCAUCAUGUAUUUGUACUAGCAUCAUAUAGUGUACAUAAAUAUUACUGUUAAACAUUAGUGUAAAGACAGAAACUACGAUCAUGUGUAAAAUAAGUCGGCACGUGUGAAGUCUGAAGCCGAUUCCUUUGGUGAAGCUCUCGUGUUGUGUGAGAGUCCGUCGCUGCUGCCUGUCUGCUUACGGACUCAACUUUAAGUUGGGGUUUAAGUUGUCAGACGUGACUCAGACCAGCAACACGCACGUCGCCUGUGUCGCUGCCGAACCGCAUACUCGCCCGCACAGGUGGCAAAGCCACAUCGUCAUGGUUACAAGCCAGAGGAGUGAUGACAUGUGGUCUCCAUCCAGAUGUGCGUCAUGGUGUGGUCAUCACAGAAGCCCUGACGCACAGUGUGAACUAGGUUCACACUGACUCCAGCUUCUACUAUAUUACCCUUCAUCCACUGGUCAAUGUGUCAGUGUUGAUCUCUGGUCACCAGUGAUUCACUUGUGGAUUAUCCAGCUGCUUGUGGAUGAGCUGUCUGUGUGUAUGAAGUCAGUGUUGCUGUGAACCCAUGAUCACAGUACAGGAAUAAAACAAUAAUGUCAGCAGGGAUGAUGUUAUUA